UGAUACAACUUUAUUUUAUAUCCAAAUCAACAUGUUUAUAGGCAUAUUUGCUGUUCUCUUCUCUUUGGUCACAGAAGCUGUUCUGGGACUGAAACUUGUACAAAAAGAUCUCUCCAUGACAAAAGAGGAGCGCAAAAGCGUGUAUAUCAGCUGCAAAGUGACCGACUUAUCCAGUAGCAACUAUGUCCACUGGUACCAAAAGAAAGAAGAUGAAGCUCUCACAAGGAUCCUAUAUGUCAAAAGUGGAAGCAAACCUGUUCAUGAUAACCAUCCUGAAGCAAAGGACUUCGAUGUGUGGCCACAGUCUGCUAAUUAUGAUCUGAAGAUAGCAAACCUGAAGAAAAGUCACUCUGCAGUUUAUUACUGUGCCAGCUGGGAGUACAGCAGUGACACAGUGACAGUAAAUAUUCAAAGUGUGUACAAAAACCCUGAUGGUUCACAACUACAACAGGAAAUGAUAUGAAGUGUUAAAAUGUGAAUACACACAUGUCAAACUCUACAGGAGUCUCAAAAAUAUUCCUGGGAAUAUACUGGGAAUGAAAUGUAAGGUGUGGCUAUAUUUCUGCAAUAUUUCAGAGGGUCUCACCUACUAGUGCACACUGACAAUGCUAUGAUGAUGUGUUAUAGUAAUUUUUUUUAAGAAAUAGAAAAUAACAAAUGCACCAAGUCUGGGUUAAUGCUGGCUGACAAGGUGGCCAAUCCCCACACCAGGAAAUGACAUCAUUACUUUAUAAAUGAAAAACUAAUGUUCUAAACUUGAAUUAAUACAGGUGCAAAAAAGAGUGCUGAACUGCAGCUUAUUUUAUUUCACAUGCAAUUCAAAAUGUUUAUAGCCAUAUAUGCUGUUCUCUUCACUUUGGCCAUAGGUAAGUAUCAGAUCACUGAUCACUAGCAC